rnacentral:rRNA from 1 species
AUUGAACGCUGGCGGCAGGCCUAACACAUGCAAGUCGAGCGGAUGAGAGGAGCUUGCUUCUCGAUUCAGCGGCGGACGGGUGAGUAAUGCCUAGGAAUCUGCCUGGUAGUGGGGGACAACGUUUCGAGAGGAACGCUAAUACCGCAUACGUCCUACGGGAGAAAGCAGGGGACCUUCGGGCCUUGCGCUAUCAGAUGAGCCUAGGUCGGAUUAGCUAGUUGGUGAGGUAAUGGCUCACCAAGGCGACGAUCCGUAACUGGUCUGAGAGGAUGAUCAGUCACACUGGAACUGAGACACGGUCCAGACUCCUACGGGAGGCAGCAGUGGGGAAUAUUGGACAAUGGGCGAAAGCCUGAUCCAGCCAUGCCGCGUGUGUGAAGAAGGUCUUCGGAUUGUAAAGCACUUUAAGUUGGGAGGAAGGGUGUAGAUUAAUACUCUGCAAUUUUGACGUUACCGACAGAAUAAGCACCGGCUAACUCUGUGCCAGCAGCCGCCGUAAUAC